UGGGGAAUAUUGGGCAAUGGGCGAAAGCCUGACCCAGCAACGCCGCGUGAUUGAAGAAGGCUUUCGGGUUGUAAAAAUCUGUCCUUGGGGACGAAAAAAAUGACGGUACCCAAGGAGGAAGCCCCGGCUAACUACGUGCCAGCAGCCGCGGUAAUACGUAGGGGGCGAGCGUUGUCCGGAAUUACUGGGCGUAAAGGGUGCGCAGGCGGCGCUUUAAGUCAGAUGUGAAAUACCCAGGCUUAACCUGGGGGGUGCAUUUGAAACUGGAGCACUUGAGUGCAGGAGAGGUAAGUGGAAUUCCUAGUGUAGCGGUGAAAUGCGUAGAUAUUAGGAGGAACACCAGUGGCGAAGGCGACUUACUGGACUGUAACUGACGCUGAGGCACGAAAGCGUGGGGAGCAAACA
rnacentral:rRNA from 1 species